rnacentral:lncRNA from 1 species
GUUUCCUAUAUCUCAGCAAGAAGUUAAGUGUCAAUCAAUAAAAGUAGGUGAUCAUCAGACAUGUUUUUGAUUUUAAAGCUUGGACAAGUUCUUUGUUUUGUGUUUGCCUUUUUUUUUUUUUGCUUUGUCAUUUUAUCUUACACAGCUGGUUUGUGACAGAUUCAGAAGUCAGCACUCAAGAGAAGGUCAGAACAAUGGCCUCUGACCUACUGUGGAUCAAGACAACAGUGUCAGGGGCUCUGUCCUCCCCAACAACCUGGUUUACUCCAGGGAAUCCCCUCCCCAUGUGACAUUCCUCCAGGACACUCAACACCUCCUGUUCCCUCUCCUCUCCUUCACCACUGCACCAAGCUGUGCCCUUCAUCCACCAAGCAUGCAAAACA